UGCUCAGGAUGAACGCUAGCGGGAGGCCUAACACAUGCAAGCCGAGCGGUAGAGAUCUUUCGGGAUCUUGAGAGCGGCGUACGGGUGCGGAACACGUGUGCAACCUGCCUUUAUCUGGGGGAUAGCCUUUCGAAAGGAAGAUUAAUACCCCAUAAUAUAUCGAGUGGCAUCAUUUGAUAUUGAAAACUCCGGUGGAUAGAGAUGGGCACGCGCAAGAUUAGAUAGUUGGUGAGGUAACGGCUCACCAAGUCUGCGAUCUUUAGGGGGCCUGAGAGGGUGAUCCCCCACACUGGUACUGAGACACGGACCAGACUCCUACGGGAGGCAGCAGUGAGGAAUAUUGGACAAUGGGUGAGAGCCUGAUCCAGCCAUCCCGCGUGAAGGACGACGGCCCUAUGGGUUGUAAACUUCUUUUGUAUAGGGAUAAACCUUACUUCUUCGUGAGGAGUAGC
rnacentral:rRNA from 1 species